rnacentral:lncRNA from 1 species
UGGGAUUCCAAUAUCGCAUCCGUUCUUAUUGUUUUAGAAUGCCUAUUCCAAACGUCAAAAAUAUUUUGGAUGGUAAUUUCCUUAUCCAUUCUGUAAAUGAAGGAGAAAUACAUUGAGAAUAAAUGAACUACUAUCUAUGCUAUCUACAUUCGAACAAUGGAAUACUUUUUUCAUUUGAAUGUCAUCGGACGCGAUUCUCUCGCUUAUGCCGAAACCGAAUUGUACCGCAGCGCCCAAACGCUGCGUGGUCACGUCUGCAAACAGAAAAAGUUGUUUGAAAUCUCAAAGUGCAAACAUGCGCUUAUGUAUUUUGUACUAUGUAUAGCCAAUGAUAUAAACUUUCAUGUAUUACAAACGAUAUUAUGAUAUAAUGCAAUAUAUUAAACUUUUGAAUGCCCU